GAUGAACGCUGGCGGCGUGCCUAAUACAUGCAAGUCGAGCGAACGGACGAGAAGCUUGCUUCUCUGAUGUUAGCGGCGGACGGGUGAGUAACACGUGGAUAACCUACCUAUAAGACUGGGAUAACUUCGGGAAACCGGAGCUAAUACCGGAUAAUAUUAUGAACCGCAUGGUUCAAAAGUGAAAGACGGUCUUGCUGUCACUUAUAGAUGGAUCCGCGCUGCAUUAGCUAGUUGGUAAGGUAACGGCUUACCAAAGCAACGAUGCAUAGCCGACCUGAGAGGGUGAUCGGCCACACUGGAACUGAGACACGGUCCAGACUCCUACGGGAGGCAGCAGUAGGGAAUCUUCCGCAAUGGGCGAAAGCCUGACGGAGCAACGCCGCGUGAGUGAUGAAGGUCUUCGGAUCGUAAAACUCUGUUAUUAGGGAAGAACAUAUGUGUAAGUAACUGUGCACAUCUUGACGGUACCUAAUCAGAAAGCCACGGCUAACUACGUG
rnacentral:rRNA from 1 species